rnacentral:rRNA from 1 species
UUACACAUGCAAGUCGAACGAGAACGGGUUAUAGCUUGCUAUAACUGUCAGCUAAGUGGCGCACGGGUGAGUAAUGUAUAGUUAACCUGCCCUCUAGAAAGGAAUAACAGUUGGAAACGACUGCUAAUGCCCUAUAUGCCUUUAAGACAUAAGUCUGCAAGGGAAACGCUUUAGUGCUAGAGGAUGGGACUGUAUGGUAUCAGCUAGUUGGUGAGGUAAAGGCUCACCAAGGCAAUGACGCCUAACUGGUUUGAGAGGAUGAUCAGUCACACUGGAACUGAGACACGGUCCAGACUCCUACGGGAGGCAGCAGUGGGGAAUAUUGCACAAUGGAGGAAACUCUGAUGCAGCAACGCCGCGUGGAGGAUGACACUUUUCGGAGCGUAAACUCCUUUUAUAUAGGAAGAUAAUGACGGUACUAUAUGAAUAAGCACCGGCUAACUCCGUGCCAGCAGCCGCGGUAAUACGGAGGGUGCAAGCGUUACUCGGAAUCACUGGGCGUAAAGAGCGUGUAGGCGGGUUAAUAAGUUUGAAGUGAAAUCCUAUGGCUCAACCAUAGAACUGCUUUGAAAACUGU